rnacentral:rRNA from 1 species
CAGCAGCCACGGUAAUCCGAAGGGGGCUAGCGUUGCUCGGAAUGACUGGGCGUAAAGGGCGCGUAGGCGGCGGCCAAAGUCAGGCGUGAAAUUCCCGGGCUCAACCUGGGGGCUGCGUUUGAUACUUGGUUGCUUGAGUGGGGAAGAGGGUCGUGGAAUUCCCAGUGUAGAGGUGAAAUUCGUAGAUAUUGGGAAGAACACCGGUGGCGAAGGCGGCGACCUGGUCCUUUACUGACGCUGAGGCGCGAAAGCGUGGGGAGCAAACAGGAUUAGAUACCCCCGUAGUCCCUGUCUCUUAUAC